rnacentral:rRNA from 1 species
GAUGAACGCUAGCGGCAGGCCUAAUACAUGCAAGUCGAGCGGCAAGUCGAGGAGUAAUCUGAGACCUAGAGCGGCGCACGGGUGCGUAACGCGUAUGCAACCUACCUCAUACAGGGGGAUAGCCCGGAGAAAUCUGGAUUAAUACCCCAUGGCAUCCCGGAGUCGCAUGGCUUCCGGGAUUAAAGAUUCAUCGGUAUGAGAUGGGCAUGCGUCUGAUUAGCUAGUUGGCGGUGUAACGGACCACCAAGGCGACGAUCAGUAGGGGUUCUGAGAGGAAGGUCCCCCACACUGGCACUGAGAUACGGGCCAGACUCCUACGGGAGGCAG